rnacentral:lncRNA from 1 species
UCAGCUUUCAUACAGAGAUUACCAGAAGAUUGCCAGUGCAGUAUACUGCAAAAAGUUUCAGCUCUGGGGUCAGUUGCACGGGUUUGAGUCUCAACUCAGACCUGUGAGGCAGCCUCAGAUAUUUAUGAUGAGCUAAAGUUGAUGGUAAACUUUUUUUUAAAGAGUGGGUAGCAUUUAAACCAAAGGAAGAAAGGAAGUGUUUUUCUUUUCAGGGAACUGUUAUUUGUAGAAGAUAUGUUCAAAUAUAACAGAUAAGUACAAAUAAGCAUUGGCAAACCCUUGUUAUCACUUCUAGUUCUUUGUUGCAAGAAUAUUAUCCCACUAUCUGAGAAUGAGAACUCUUGAACCAUGGAAAGCUGCCUUGCAGAAAGCUCAUCACUGAAGAUUUGUAAACAGGACCAGGAGGACAUUUAUCAGGGAUGCUGCAAGGGAGAUUCUCACAUAGUUUUUUUUUUUUUUUUUUGAGACAGGAUCUUACUCUGUCACCCAGGCUGGAGUGCAGGGUAUGUGAGAUCAUGGGUCUCUGCAGCCUCAACCUCCUUGGCUCUGGCAAUCCUCCUACCUCAGCCUCCCAAAUAGCUGGGAUUACAGACAUGCACCACCAUGCCCAGCUAAUUUUUUAAAAUAUAUUUUUUUGUAGAGAUGAGAGUCUCACUAUGGCUGGUCCUGAAUUCCUGGGCUCAAGCAAUCCUCCCACCUCGGUCUCCCAAAGUGCUGGGAUUACAGGAGUGAGCCACUGUACCCAACUGUUCAUUUAUUUUCUAGUAAAACAAGGUCUGAUUGAUCAUUCAUGAUUCAAUCUUCUCAAAUAAAGAAACGAAAAGAAAAGAGCAUGGGGGAUAAAUGUGUCAUCUGCCCUUCUGUCCCCUGUGCUUCCAGAGAAGCUGGUCUUACCAGAAGCUCCAGGCUGGACCUGAGUGAUGUGAGGGAAAUUCUACUGACUUUGCCAGUGAUUAGCUUAGAAUUACCUAAACUCAACACAG